rnacentral:snRNA from 1 species
AACCGUCCAUCCUUGAUUCUUC